AAGUGUUACAGCUCUUUUAGAAUGUGUCUGGGCAGGGUUUCUGGUUUUCACUGUGAAACCCUUC
ensembl:snRNA U7 U7 small nuclear RNA